CCUACGGGAGGCAGCAGUGGGGAAUAUUGCACAAUGGGGGAAACCCUGACGCAGCGACGCCGCGUGAGUGAAGAAGGUUUUCGGAUCGUAAAGCUCUAUCAGCAGGGAAGAAAAUGACGGUACCUGACUAUGCAGCCCUGGAUAACACCGAGCCAGCAACCGCGGUAAGACGGAGGGGGCACGCGUUAUCCGGAUUUACUGGGGGUAAAGGGAGCGUAGACGGCUGCGCAAGUCUGGCGUGAAAUCCCAUGGCUUAACCAUGGAACUGCUUUGGAAACUGUGCAGCUAGAGUGCAGGAGAGGAAAGCGGAAUUCCAAGUGUAGCGGUGAAAUGCGUAGAGAUUAGGAGGAACACCAGUGGCGAAGGCGGCUUACUGGACUGUAACUGACGUUGAGGCGCGAAAGCGUGGGGAGCAAACAGGAUUAGAUACCCGAGUAGUC
rnacentral:rRNA from 1 species